rnacentral:lncRNA from 1 species
AUUUUACAAGAUAUUGAUGUGAUCGAAAGGACCUUCAAGCAACACCAAAGAGAACAAAGAAGAAAGAGGGUAAUGGUUGAGAAUCAAGAUCAUGUUCAAAAUGCAUUGCAGAAUGUAGCACUUCCGGUUCAACAACCACCUCCAGCUCAACCAAUAUUGGUUAGAGAUUAUGUGAAUCCAGUACUUGCACCGACUUAACCUCCUAUUGUCUAUCCACCUUUUGGACAAGCCAACUUUCACAUCCAACCAGAUGUCAUAAAUCUCUUCCAGAAUCAUCAAGACAUCAGGUUCGGUGGGAAAGCUAUGGAAAAUCCACACGAACAUAUUCAAGCUUUUAUCAUACUUUGCGAUGUAAUUGUUGGAAAUUUAAAGCAAUGAAGAGAAGAAAAUUGGUAAUACCAAAGAGGAAAAGAAUAUAGAUUUGAUUAGAGGCUUGAACACGAAAAUGAUAAUGCUAUCCUCAAACGUUAUUUGCC